rnacentral:lncRNA from 1 species
AUUUUAUUGUGAGUGUGAAAGGAAAAUACGGGACCCCCAAAUCACUAAGCCAAACAGAAAAGUCAAGCUGGGAACCGCCUCAGGCAAACCUACCUCCCAUUUUAUUCCUAAAUAAGAUAGCUACAAAAAUACAAAGUGAGUUCACUCAUGAUUUGGCUCUCUGUUUGUCUGUUAUUGGUGUAUAAGAAUGCUUGUGAUUUUUGUACAUUGAUUUUGUAUCCUGAGACUUUGCUGAAGUUGCUUAUCAGCUUAAGGAGAUUUUGGGCUGAGACAAUGGGGUUUUCUAGAUAUACAAUCAUGUCUGGGGUGAAAAAGGACUUUCAAAACAGGAAAACAUUAUAAAAAUAUUUAAUAACAGGGAACACAAAAUAUUAUAAUUCAGCUGGAAAUCAUAAUAUGUAAAAGUUAAUAUUUAAUAAUAAAUUACCAAAGGUAAAAUUGAAUCAGAUCUUAGUGUAGGAGUAGGGGGAGGGAUCUUUAAUACCAGACUCAGAAUUGCUGAACUAUUUAAGGCUUUUGAGCAGGAAGGUUGCAAUAUUAGGAAGUCAGAGAAGGAAAGGAAUAAAACGUAUUAUAUAUUUUGAAGAUAUGUAGUCGAUAUCAGUAUGUUCUGUGUUAUGCUGGCAAUAAUAAGAAUGUCAUAUUCUUCUAUUUUUCUAAACCAAAUGUACUC